CCAAUAGCGUAUAUUAAAGUUGUUGCAGUUAAAAAGCUCGUAGUUGAAUUUCGGGGUUAGUAGGUUGGUCAUGCCUCUGGUAUGUACUGGUCUCACUGAUUCCUCCUUCCUGAUGAGCCGUAAUGCCAUUAAUUUGGUGUUGCGGGGAAUUUGGACUGUUACUUUGAAAAAAUUAGAGUGUUUAAAGCAAGCUAACGCUUGAAUACAUUAGCAUGGAAUAAUGAAAUAGGACGUUCGAUCCUAUUUUGUUGGUUUCUAGGAUUGACGUAAUGAUUUAUAGGGGUAGUUAGGGGGCAUUAGUAUUCAAUUGUCAGAGGUGAAAUUCUUGGAUUUAUUGAAGACUAACUACUGCGAAAGCAUUUGCCAAGGAUGUUUUCAUUAAUCAAGAACGAAAGUUAGGGGAUCGAAGACGAUCAUAUACCGUCGUAGUCUUAACCAUAAACUAUGCCGACUAGGGAUCGGAUGAUGUUAAUUUUUUAAUGACUCAUUCGGCGCCUUACG
rnacentral:rRNA from 1 species